UGCUUAUCACUUUGCGUACUCAGACGAUCUAAAUUCUUCAUCAGCAUUUGUUGCUGUUGUUGUUUUUCUGCUUGAAUACUCAAUCGCUCUAUGUUUUUCACUAUCGAAGAUAUGGUAGCUUCUGCAAAUCCACUUUCAUCUCAGAAACUUUCUGUUAUAGUGCUUCAAAUCUUUCUUCGUGCUUCUUCGCCAUCUUCUUCUGCUUUACCAGGAUUUUCGCUCUGAUACCAAUAUGAUGGAACCCGG